CCUCAAAUCAGGUAGGACUACCCGCUGAACUUAAGCAUAUCAAUAAGCGGAGGAAAAGAAACUAACAAGGAUUCCCCUAGUAACUGCGAGUGAAGCGGGAAAAGCUCAAAUUUAAAAUCUGGUAGUCUUUGGCUGCCCGAGUUGUAAUCUAGAGAAGCGUUAUCCGCGCUGGACCGUGUGUAAGUCUCCUGGAAUGGAGCGUCAUAGAGGGUGAGAAUCCCGUCUUUAACACGGACUACCAGGGCUUUGUGAUGCGCUCUCAAAGAGUCGAGUUGUUUGGGAAUGCAGCUCUAAAUGGGUGGUAAAUUCCAUCUAAAGCUAAAUAUUGGCGAGAGACCGAUAGCGAACAAGUACCGUGAGGGAAAGAUGAAAAGAACUUUGGAAAGAGAGUUAAACAGUACGUGAAAUUGUUGAAAGGGAAACGCUUGAAGUCAGUCGCGUUGGUCAGGGAUCAACCUUGCUUUUGCUUGGUGUACUUCCUGGUUAACGGGUCAGCAUCAAUUUUGACCAGUGGAAAAAGGUCAGGGGAAUGUGGCAUCUUCGGAUGUGUUAUAGCCUCUGGUCAUAUACAUUGGUUGGGAUUGAGGAACUCAGCACGCCGCAGGCCGGGUUUUAACCACGUUCGUGCUUAGGA
rnacentral:rRNA from 1 species